rnacentral:rRNA from 1 species
AUGCAGAUGGUCACUUGCGGUCGCACGGCCGUGAACAUAAAUGGCGAGAUCGGCCCUUUCUUGCCCACCCUCUAUGGGGUUAGACAAGGCGACCCAUUCUCUCCGUUCUUGUUCAAUAUGGUCGUGGACGCGCUGGCGUCCAUCCUUGAUAAGGCGAAAGCCGCUGGCCAUAUUCGUGGGAUUACUUCCCACCUCGCCGGUGGCUCCGGGAUCUCCAUCCUCGAGUAUGCUGACGACACUAUCAUCAUGGUUGAAGGCUCGGAAACUGAUAUCUCCAACCUCAAGUUCCUCCUUCUCUGCUUCCAACAAAUGUUGGGCCUCAAGAUCAACUUCGUCAAGAGUGAUGUGAUGGUGAUGGGAUACUCCCCCGCUGAGUCUUUGGCCAUUGCCAACAGACUUAACUGUCGCAUGGGCUCCUUCCCCAUGACCUACCUGGGGACGCCCAUUAGUGAUUCCCGGCUCACAGUCGCGGACUUGCGCCCCUCCGUGGCCAAGCUCCAAACGCGCGUCAAGCCUUGGCAGGGGAGAUGGCUAUCCAAAGCAGCCUGGACUAUUCUCAUCAAUUCUUCCCUCUCCAGCCUCCUCUUGUUCCUCAUGAGCUUCUACAACCUCCACGAGUCCCUUCACAAGGAGAUUGCCAAGAUUCAGUCCCGCUUUUAUUGGGCAGGCGACAAUGAUAAGCAGAAGUAUCAUAUGGUCAGCUGGCCCGACAUUUGCAAGCCCCGGAGCAAGGUGGCCUUGGCAUCAUGUGCUCUAAACGAAUGA